rnacentral:rRNA from 1 species
CCCUUAGAUGUCCUGGGCCGCACGCGCGCUACACUGAUGCAUUCAACGAGCUUAUAACCUUGGCCGAGAGGCCUGGGCAAUCUUGUUAACGUGCAUCGUGAUAGGGAUAGAUUAUUGAAAUUAUUAAUCUUGAACGAGGAAUUCCUAGUAAACGCAGAUCAUCAAUCUGCAUUGAUUACGUCCCUGCCCUUUGUACACACCGCCCGUCGCACCUACCGAUUGGAUGGUCCGGUGAAGCCUCGGGAUUGUGGUUCUUGCCGCUUUAUUGUAGCGUGACCGCGAGAACUUGUCUAAACCUUAUCAUCUAGAGGAAGGUGAAGUCGUAACA